AUUGAACGCUGGCGGCAGGCCUAACACAUGCAAGUCGAGCGGAUGAAGGGUGCUUGCUCCUGGAUUCAGCGGCGGACGGGUGAGUAAUGCCUAGGAAUCUGCCUGGUAGUGGGGAUAACGUCCGGAAACGGGCGCUAAUACCGCAUACGUCCUGAGGGAGAAAGUGGGGGAUCUUCGGACCUCACGCUAUCAGAUGAGCCUAGGUCGGAUUAGCUAGUUGGUGGGGUAAAGGCCUACCAAGCCGACGAUCCGUAUCUGGUCUGAGAGGAUGAUCAGUCACACUGGAACUGAGACACGGUCCAGACUCCUACGGGAGGCAGCAGUGGGGAAUAUUGGACAAUGGGCGAAAGCCUGAUCCAGCCAUGCCGCGUGUGUGAAGAAGGUCUUCGGAUUGUAAAGCCCUUUAAGUUGGGGUGAAGCGCAGUAAGUUAAUACCUUGCUGUUUUGACGGUACCAACAGAAGAAGCACCGGCUAACUUCGUG
rnacentral:rRNA from 1 species